AUUGAACGCUGGCGGCAGGCCUAACACAUGCAAGUCGAGCGAGCGGCGGACGGGGGAGUGAUGUCUGGGAAACUGCCUGUUGGAGGGGGGGAACUACUGGAAACGGUAGCUAAUACCGCAUACCAUCAGAUGUGCCCCGAUGGGAUGAGCUAGUAGGUGGGGUAACGGCGCACCUGGGCGACGAUCCCUAGCGGGUCUGCGAGGAUGACCAGCCACACGGGAACGGGGACACGGUCCAGACUCCUACGGGAGGCAGAGGUGGGGAAUAUUGCACAAUGGGGGCAAGCCGGAUGCAGCCAUGCCGCGUGUGUGAAGAAGGCCUUCGGGUUGUAAAGCACUUUCAGCGGGGAGGCGUUACCCGCAGAAGAAGCACCGGCUAACUCCGUGCCAGCAGCCGCGGUAAUAC
rnacentral:rRNA from 1 species